CAAUGGGCGAAAGCCUGAUGCAGCGACGCCGCGUGAAGGAUGAAGGCUUUAGGGUUGUAAACUUCUUUUCUCAGGGAAGAGCAAGGACGGUACCUGAGGAAUAAGCCACGGCUAACUACGUGCCAGCAGCCGCGGUAAU
rnacentral:rRNA from 1 species